rnacentral:rRNA from 1 species
UGGGGAAUAUUGCACAAUGGGCGCAAGCCUGAUGCAGCCAUGCCGCGUGUAUGAAGAAGGCCUUCGGGUUGUAAAGUACUUUCAGCGGGGAGGAAGGCGAUAAGGUUAAUAACCUUGUCGAUUGACGUUAACCGCAGCAGAAGCACCGGCUAACUCCGUGCCAGCAGCCGCGGUAAUACGGAGGGUGCAAGCGUUAAUCGGAAUUACUGGGCGUAAAGCGCACGCAGGCGGUCUGUCAAGUCGGAUGUGAAAUCCCCGGGCUCAACCUGGGAACUGCAUUCGAAACUGGCAGGCUAGAGUCUUGUAGAGGGGGGUAGAAUUCCAGGUGUAGCGGUGAAAUGCGUAGAGAUCUGGAGGAAUACCGGUGGCGAAGGCGGCCCCCUGGACAAAGACUGACGCUCAGGUGCGAAAGCGUGGGGAGCAAACA